GAUCAUGGCUCAGGAUGAACGCUAGCUACAGGCUUAACACAUGCAAGUCGAGGGGCAGCAUGGUCUUAGCUUGCUAAGGCCGAUGGCGACCGGCGCACGGGUGAGUAACACGUAUCCAACCUGCCGUCUACUCUUGGACAGCCUUCUAGAAAGGAAGAUUAAUACAAGAUGGACAUCAUGACGUCCGCAUGUCACAUGAUUAAAGGUAUUCCGGUAGACGAGUGGGG
rnacentral:rRNA from 1 species